AAAGCAUGUGGCUGCUUGGAGAGAUCUAUGCAUCUUCAAUUUCCCAAGUGCCUCUGACAACCACUCCUUGUUUCCUGAUGGCUGAAGCAGGGGAGAUGUGCCGAGCACUGCUUCCUGUGCCCCUGGGGUGGUCCUGGCCCAGUGGCAGACCCCCUGAGAUCUGGCUUCCCACCUGCUCAAUCACACGGACAGCAUCUGGUGUGUAGCCUCUGAAGUUUGCUGCAGGAGAGCCGAGGAGGCGAGGACAAGUCGCCAGUGUGCCUGGGCAUCAUGCCAUCAGCCCCGCUGGGGAGCCAGGGCGCCACAUGAUUUUACUCAUGGAUACAAAAGAAAAAAUGGAAAGGAGCUCUGUCCCUUCUAUUGACCCCCCACAGCUUGACAUCUGCACACCUGCCAGAGCAUUCUUUUGUCAUUGGAGAGAUGCCACUCAGGGAUCUCAUGAGCUACAGAAGGAAGAAAGGAAUCUUGAGCUGUGGUUCAGAACAUUAAAAAUGCGCUCUGUUCAUCUGGUUUGUUCAUAAAAUUGUUGUGUUAAUGCCCUAGGGGAAACGGAAAGCUAUUUUAGCAACAUUCCCUAGUUUGGUUGGGAUUACGUUUGGAGGAAAACAUUCCCACGUCUGUCAUGGCUACAGUCUCGCUUUUCCUGUUUUCAUGGUUCCCCCUGCAUGGCCACGGGAGGCUCUGAUGAGGGCUGGACAAGAAUGUGCUCCGAGACCGGGGAGGCUGGAGUUAACCAGCGCUGAGGGGUUCACGCACCUGUCGAAAGGAUGGAGGCUCCCGUGUCACCGGAAUUGUGUCAUAGUUCUCCUGGGGACAGGGUGGAAACGAAAAGGCCAUCUGGGAGAGGCCCUCUGGUACCCUGUAUGCCAUUCUGCCCUUGUGUCACCUUUUGUGAUUUACAAAAGCGAGUGCAAAGAAGUGAGCGUGGGGUAGGUGAGCCGGGAAGAAACCAGCACUGCCCUCA